UACGUAGGGGGCAAGCGUUGUCCGGACUUACUGGGCGUAAAGCGUGUGCAGGCGGGCCGCUAUGUGCCGUGUGAAAGCUCUCAGCUUAUCUGGGAGAGGUCGCGGUAGACAUGCAGCCUGGAGGCUCGGAGAGGUCAGUGGAAUUCUCGGUGUAGAGGUGAAAUUCGUAGAUAUCGAGAGGAACACCGGUGGCGAAGGCGGCCUUCUGGACAGUGACUGACGCUGAGACGCGAAAGCGUGGGGAGCAAACAGG
rnacentral:rRNA from 1 species